UUAAAGGCUGAGAAGGAGAGAGUAACUAAAGGAGAUUUUAAGAGAGAUUAACUGCAGCAGCUGAAAGCAGUUAAAUUAUCAAUUUUAGUGAAGUUCACUCUGGAGCUGGAGGCUGAAAAAAGUAGGCUUUCUCGGAAGCUAUUAACUUUCGUUAACAAAUAAAGUGAUUCCACAUUUUGUGGGAUAAUCAGGGUGGUAACACGGUAUCUCGUCCCUUUA
rnacentral:ncRNA from 1 species